GAUGCUUGGCCUAAAUCUCUUCUGACAAGUUCAUCAGGCCCCGUGCCCGCGGCAGACACAAGUCGAACCAGGCCCCGUCCCAGGAGCCCUCACUCGGCCCCAGAGCCCUCUGUAGGUACUACCACCAAUCAGCAGAGAGGGGCUCGGGGAAACGCAGCAGACACGCUGACCAUGGCCAGCAGCAGGUAGCCAGAGCCACCGAGGCUCUGCUUCCACAUGUAGCUCCUGAUCGUGCCCCAGAAAUGCCUCCUCUCAUCCCCUAGAUCCUGGGCCCCUUUUCCUGGUCCCCACACAAGGGCAGCCUCUUCCUGGGCUCUGCGCCAGCACCCCCACCCUCCCAUGCAGCAAAUGCCACUUGCCAGUAAAUGAAUUCCAGGGUGGGUGCACACGGUCCCAGGUCACACGGGUGUCUGGAGGAGCUCAGGCCCUUGUUCCCAGAGCCCCCUCCUGACCCUCAGGAGCAAGAGCACCCCCUCCGAUCUCGAGGUGAAAACUGUAGGAGAAGACAAGCAGAUCGUUGUUAAGGACAAGAUACUGGCGGAGCUGGAAGAGAAACCUAAACGUUCCUUAAACAAGGGCCGAAGAAUUACAUGAACUUACCCUGUGCUGUUUGAACUUAGGGUGAAAGUUCUAUUGUUUACCUUGCUCCUGAUUAAAUGCCCGCGGAUGAUGACGCUGGUGUCAGGGGGCCACAGGCGUAUCACCCUGUGAGUUGGGAGUGACUACCCCCUUUCCAGCCCCACCUAACCAUUCGGUUUCUACCUGCUUCUCUUACGAGAUACAGAAAGUCAAGUCCCAAGCUUGUCUUACUAGCUUCUGCUUCUGCUUCUAAAAUGUUUACACCCAAUUCUGAUUUCGUUCAUGCUGGGCCUGCAACUCAAAAUAUCAGUCUAAUUUAUAGAUGAGGUCCAACGAAUGGUCCAAGUUGGUCUACUUAAAAACACAGGUCAGACUUGAAAAGGCAGGAAAUAGGAAUGUGGACAGAGAUGAGCUUGUCAAGUCGUAGUGGUGUUUACAGGAGGAGUAGGGAAUCAUCAUUACUUGCGAUGAGAGUGCCGGGGAAGAGGAAAGUCACAUCCCGAUUACCCCCAGGGUUCAGAGGGCACUACUGAAAGGUGUGAGCAGUGGAGGAACACGCGUUGCGUAUUAACAGAACUGGAAGAUUUGACCAAUGAUUUCGUUUUAGUUGGCAAAAAUACUCCAAGACGUGUAUACCCGAUGCACAAGGAAAACCACAGAAAGCCAACGUAACUGACGGAGUUCUCCAGUUACGAUUCUGAAACAUCUGUCCCCUGCAGGGUGCUGCCCAUUCUACAAGUCACUCUAGAGCAGCCAGCCAGCAACCCC
rnacentral:lncRNA from 1 species